rfam:Erythrobacter sp. NAP1 scf_1099465005036 genomic scaffold, whole genome shotgun sequence.
GCCGGUUUAGCUCAGUUGGUAGAGCAGUUGAUUUGUAAUCAUCAGGCCAGGGGUUCGAAUCCUCUAACCGGCA